AACGAUGAAUGGGCUCGGCCCUUGAAAUAUUGAAAUACGGAUCACAAGAUUCCCUUUUUGCUCACCCCACCUGGUACUCCAUGUCGUAGCUGGGCAGGAUGAUCCGCCCGUGCUUCCACUCGCCGCCCUGGUCCUCACGGAUGACCCACAGCAACUUGCUCUCCUGGCUGGCUUCCCGCACCACCUGCAGCGCCACCCCGCGGCCGCCCGUGGCCUGGACUUCAGGCAGGCCAUUUUCCAUGGAUUUCAGCAGGAAACAAAAAGGAUAGAAAGACCACCAAUAACCCAGGAAGGCCAAUCCAAGACUCAAAAAGAAGUAUGUUUGGCAUGAGGGCAGUAAAGAUGUUCUCUGGACAAAGACUGGUUCCCCUUAUCUGCUCUUUCUCCAGAAACCAGCCGGCCCCAAGUUUUCCAUCACCACAGGUCUUUUGUGUUGCUUCACAGUAGAUGAAAUAAAAUAUUACAUGAUCCUGGAACAAGAGUGGGACCUCAAGUGAUCUUAGGGCAGGCCAGU
rnacentral:lncRNA from 1 species